ACUAUUUGUAAAGCCGAUAUCUACGGCGGUAGUGUUCGGUGUCCUGCUAGUGCGUGAUAUCUCAUGUGGAAUAAUAGACUGAGUCCAUCCCACUAUCAUGAUCAUGAAUCUCGUCAAAAUUCGUAUCGGGCAAGUGAUGACCGUGAUCGCAGACUGUCAGAAGAGACACCCCUGCUUCAUAGAUUCCCGCAGACUAAUCCGGCACCAAGAAGCACGUCUACCACGAUAAUAGUAAGCUUACUGCUUAUAAUAUUGACGUCAGGCGUUGUUAUUGGCGUGUAUCUGCUCAUUCUACAGAACAAUGCUGAGAAUGUCUUACCUCCUGUGGAGAUUCCGUUACAAUUAGUCAGCAGGAGGCAGUGGGCCAAUAACAGUAAAAGCGCGCAGCUCCUGCAGUCUUCACCUGUCUUUAAGGCUACAUCAGUAAUUGUAGUGCAAACUGACACAAGACAGUGUUUCAAUACGAGAGCAUGCGUGGAACUGUUACAAAACAUGGAGAUGACUGCUUUGACAAAUGGUAUGAAGUAUUUGCCGUAUAAUUUUCUAGUCUCUUCGAAUGGUCAGACAUACGAGGCGCUGGGGUGGCACGGAACAUCUUCAAUGUUCCCAGAAUACUCAAAAUCGGCAUUAAUUUUAGGUUUUAUAGGUAAUUACACUGAGACUCCACCGACGCGCGGGCAGAUUGACGAGGCUAUAAACUUAUUCUCUGAAUCUGUAAGCCAUCAAUAUUUACAUCCGCACUAUGUGAUCAUAGGGAAAAAAACAAAGACAACUCCGAAACAGCUCUUCGCGAGCCUUAUGGAUCUGCCACAGUGGAGCACCGAAUUGUCUGAUAUGUAAUGCCUACUGUCAACCGGGGUGAAUAGGAAUGGAGGAGUAUAUACGGACUUAAAUGGUUUAUAGCGGUAGGAAUACACCCCGCAAUGUACAAGAUAACAACUUCGUCGCGGAUCCGAGUGUUAUUUACCAUAAGGUAUUUAUUUUAGAUACCAAAUAUUGAUAUAGGUGUAGUAUUUUUGUUUUUGAUAUCAAUAAAAAUAACAAUAAACAAACGGUAUACAGGGUAUGAGAAGAAUGUGAGCCCAAAAAAAUUUGUUAAUUUAAAUAACUUCAAAUUAUAGUGAAAAGUUAUCAAUGGUUGUAAAGCCAAAAAAAAUAUAUUAUUAUCACGAUGUUGCUCUUAUAGUAAAAUAUUACUGUUUUGCCGAGAAAGCUUGAUUUUCACAAGUCCACCAAAAAUAAUAUUUCAUUUUCGGUUUUGAAUAUGUUGAUCAUGAACAACAAAAUAUACACAAUAAAAUCAAUUAAGAAGAAGAUUUUGUUUUGUUUUAUUGUUUUUGUGCAUAUAUGAUUAUAAUUAGUAAUAAGUACGUAACCAAUUUCGAAUAUAAUAUAGUCAAUAAAAA
rnacentral:misc_RNA from 1 species